GCGGCCAUGGCGAAAUUGGUAGACGCGCAGUGUUGAGGUCGCUGUUCUGCAAGGAGUGGAAGUUCAAAUCUUCUUGGCCGCACCA
rnacentral:tRNA from 1 species